rnacentral:lncRNA from 1 species
UAAACCCUGCUCAGAAGUCAAGAGCAGCAGCGCCGCCGCUCUCCGCGGCCUUUCAUGCCGCAGCCACUCCUUAUUCUUGUGCCUCGGCCUCUCUGGGCGCCCCCGGACAAAGCCCCCCGGAGCCCGGCCGCUCCCUUCCCGCUAAAUCCCCUUCGGGGUCAGCGCGCUACCAGCACCGGGCCGUGCGCCUCUCCUGCCAGUCCUUGUGGCUCUUAAAGAGCGGCACCCCCCCCUCCGCCCCGCGCGCUCCUCCGACCCCCGUCUCCCCGCCCCUCUCCUCUGGAUCUAGCCCCCAACUCCGACGCCUGAGGUCCCUGCUGCCCUGAC